rnacentral:rRNA from 1 species
UACGUAGGGUGCAAGCGUUAAUCGGAGUUACUGGGCGUAAAGCGUGCGCAGGCGGUUCGCUAAGACAGAUGUGAAAUCCCCGGGCUUAACCUGGGAACUGCAUUUGUGACUGGCGGGCUAGAGUAUGGCAGAGGGGGGUAGAAUUCCACGUGUAGCAGUGAAAUGCGUAGAGAUGUGGAGGAAUACCGAUGGCGAAGGCAGCCCCCUGGGCCAAUACUGACGCUCAUGCACGAAAGCGUGGGGAGCAAACAGG